UGAAAUGGGGAUUAGGGUUUGGUCGUAGUGACCAUUCAGAUUUUCGUUUGCAGCCUCCCCCUCAAUGACUCGCUCGCGAAACAGCGGUGGUACGGCGGAGAAACUCGUCUUCUCCGGCCGAAACCUGAACUCGCCUUCGCUCCUCUCCCCUAUCCUCUAUCUCAACCUCACUCUAUUCGCCUCAUAACUGAAAAAACCUAAAAUCUCGAAUAAACACACUCGAAUCAUGAAUCGAGCUAGCAGGCAUGGGGGAAUCGUUCAGCAAGUUCGGAGUUAUCUUAAAGUGUCAAGAAAACAUACAAAGAAAUGGAUUUCGGUGACUCACCUGGGCGACGAAGUGUCGAAGUGGAGAAUUCGCGUUCCUUGCAGAUGAUUGAAUCGCGAACUAAACGCGAGGGCGAUUUCAACAAAUCCUGAUGUGUAGCCUGUGGUGAGGUACUGGUGAAUGGUGAUGGAGCAAAGGCUUAGCACACCUUCAUUCAGAGUUCAAUGGUGGAACUCUAAGGAAGGCUUAUGGUUGUGCUUUGGUGAUGGUGAGGGUGGAAGGUGACGUGAAGAGGUUUUUCUGUUGUCAAGAUUGAAGAAAGAUUGAAGCUGAUUGGAGAAGGUUGAAGAGUGUUAUGAAGGUGAUUAUGGAGAAUUGGUGAUGUUGCAGAGAGUGAUGAAUGAACAAAAAUGGUGGAGGCUGAAGGUUGGUGAAUGAAGUGGAAAUGGUCCAGACUGAUUCUGAAGGAGGAGCUCAAGUUAUAUAGAGGGCUGUUAUGGAUAAGUUUGGAAGCCGGUUUCGAUACACACAGUGCUGCUGCAACAUAUCACAAUAUCGUGGAGACUUGUGUUCAGAUGGAGGUCGCAAUUUUUCACCAUUUUCUGGGGCAGCAGUACAGCAGCAUAUCAAGACUAGGACAGUGAUGGUUUAGCUUAGAUCUCUUGAUGUAAUAUGCCUUUUAAUGGAUGACUUUUGUUGUAUGAUCUUGGACACUUAUAAAUAAUGGAGGAUGACCCAGAAAAUGGUUGAAGGAUAAAAGCCUUGACUUCGAGAUACCCUUAGAAUAAUAAUAGGAUUUGUAGUAUCUUGUAAUGGUUCUUGAAAUUGUCUUGUAGUGAUUUUGUAAUGAAGUUUGGAAGAUUGUAAUGAAUGGAUUUUGUGGAGUUGGAUAUUUGAAUAUAAUGUA